rnacentral:rRNA from 1 species
UAAUUGAAGAGUUUGAUCAUGGCUCAGAUUGAACGCUGGCGGCAGGCCUAACACAUGCAAGUCGAGCGGUAACAUUU